AUUGAACGCUGGCGGCAGGCUUAACACAUGCAAGUCGAGCGGGGAAAGGUAGCUUGCUACCUAACCUAGCGGCGGACGGGUGAGUAAUGCUUAGGAAUCUGCCUAUUAGUGGGGGACAACAUUCCGAAAGGAAUGCUAAUACCGCAUACGCCCUACGGGGGAAAGCAGGGGAUCUUCGGACCUUGCGCUAAUAGAUGAGCCUAAGUCAGAUGAGCUAGUUGGUGGGGUAAAGUCCUACCAAGGCGACGAUCUGUAGCGGGUCUGAGAGGAUGAUCCGCCAAACUGGGACGGAGACACGGCCCAGGCUCCUACGGGAGGCAGCAGUGGGGAAUAUUGGACAAUGGGCGAAAGCCUGAUCCAGCCAUGCCGCGUGUGUGAAGAAGGCCUUUUGGUUGUAAAGCACUUUAAGCGAGGAAGAGGCUACUUGGAUUAAUACUCUAGGAUAGUGGACGUUACUCGCAGAAUAAGCACCGGCUAACUCUGUGCCAGCAGCCGCCGUAA
rnacentral:rRNA from 1 species